GGUUAAGCGACUAAGCGUACACGGUGGAUGCCCUGGCAGUCAGAGGCGAUGAAGGACGUGCUAAUCUGCGAUAAGCGUCGGUAAGGUGAUAUGAACCGUUAUAACCGGCGAUUUCCGAAUGGGGAAACCCAGUGUGAUUCGUCACACUAUCAUUAACUGAAUCCAUAGGUUAAUGAGGCGAACCGGGGGAACUGAAACAUCUAAGUACCCCGAGGAAAAGAAAUCAACCGAGAUUCCCCCAGUAGCGGCGAGCGAACGGGGAGCAGCCCAGAGCCUGAAUCAGUGUGUGUGUUAGUGGAAGCGUCUGGAAAGGCGCGCGAUACAGGGUGACAGCCCCGUACACAAAAAUGCACAUAUUGUGAGCUCGAUGAGUAGGGCGGGACACGUGGUAUCCUGUCUGAAUAUGGGGGGACCAUCCUCCAAGGCUAAAUACUCCUGACUGACCGAUAGUGAACCAGUACCGUGAGGGAAAGGCGAAAAGAACCCCGGCGAGGGGAGUGAAAAAGAACCUGAAACCGUGUACGUACAAGCAGUGGGAGCACGCUUAGGCGUGUGACUGCGUACCUUUUGUAUAAUGGGUCAGCGACUUAUAUUCUGUAGCAAGGUUAACCGAAUAGGGGAGCCGAAGGGAAACCGAGUCUUAACUGGGCGUUAAGUUGCAGGGUAUAGACCCGAAACCCGGUGAUCUAGCCAUGGGCAGGUUGAAGGUUGGGUAACACUAACUGGAGGACCGAACCGACUAAUGUUGAAAAAUUAGCGGAUGACUUGUGGCUGGGGGUGAAAGGCCAAUCAAACCGGGAGAUAGCUGGUUCUCCCCGAAAGCUAUUUAGGUAGCGCCUCGUGAAUUCAUCUCCGGGGGUAGAGCACUGUUUCGGCAAGGGGGUCAUCCCGACUUACCAACCCGAUGCAAACUGCGAAUACCGGAGAAUGUUAUCACGGGAGACACACGGCGGGUGCUAACGUCCGUCGUGAAGAGGGAAACAACCCAGACCGCCAGCUAAGGUCCCAAAGUCAUGGUUAAGUGGGAAACGAUGUGGGAAGGCCCAGACAGCCAGGAUGUUGGCUUAGAAGCAGCCAUCAUUUAAAGAAAGCGUAAUAGCUCACUGGUCGAGUCGGCCUGCGCGGAAGAUGUAACGGGGCUAAACCAUGCACCGAAGCUGCGGCAGCGACGCUUAUGCGUUGUUGGGUAGGGGAGCGUUCUGUAAGCCUGUGAAGGUGUGCUGUGAGGCAUGCUGGAGGUAUCAGAAGUGCGAAUGCUGACAUAAGUAACGAUAAAGCGGGUGAAAAGCCCGCUCGCCGGAAGACCAAGGGUUCCUGUCCAACGUUAAUCGGGGCAGGGUGAGUCGACCCCUAAGGCGAGGCCGAAAGGCGUAGUCGAUGGGAAACAGGUUAAUAUUCCUGUACUUGGUGUUACUGCGAAGGGGGGACGGAGAAGGCUAUGUUGGUCGGGCGACGGUUGUCCCGGUUUAAGCGUGUAGGCUGGUUUUCCAGGCAAAUCCGGAAAAUCAAGGCUGAGGCGUGAUGACGAGGCACUACGGUGCUGAAGCAACAAAUGCCCUGCUUCCAGGAAAAGCCUCUAAGCAUCAGGUAACAUCAAAUCGUACCCCAAACCGACACAGGUGGUCAGGUAGAGAAUACCAAGGCGCUUGAGAGAACUCGGGUGAAGGAACUAGGCAAAAUGGCUGCCGUAACUUCGGGAGAAGGCACGCUGAUAUGUAGGUGAAGUCCCUUGCGGAUGGAGCUGAAAUCAGUCGAAGAUACCAGCUGGCUGCAACUGUUUAUUAAAAACACAGCACUGUGCAAACACGAAAGUGGACGUAUACGGUGUGACGCCUGCCCGGUGUCGGAAGGUUAAUUGAUGGGGUCAGCGCAAGCGAAGCUCUUGAUCGAAGCCCCGGUAAACGGCGGCCGUAACUAUAACGGUCCUAAGGUAGCGAAAUUCCUUGUCGGGUAAGUUCCGACCUGCACGAAUGGCGUAAUGAUGGCCAGGCUGUCUCCACCCGAGACUCAGUGAAAUUGAACUCGCUGUGAAGAUGCAGUGUACCCGCGGCAAGACGGAAAGACCCCGUGAACCUUUACUAUAGCUUGACACUGAACAUUGAGCCUUGAUGUGUAGGAUAGGUGGGAGGCUUUGAAGUGUGGACGCCAGUCUGCAUGGAGCCGACCUUGAAAUACCACCCUUUAAUGUUUGAUGUUCUAACGUUGACCCCUAAUCGGGGUUGCGGACAGUGUCUGGUGGGUAGUUUGACUGGGGCGGUCUCCUCCUAAAGAGUAACGGAGGAGCACGAAGGUUGGCUAAUCCUGGUCGGACAUCAGGAGGUUAGUGCAAUGGCAUAAGCCAGCUUGACUGCGAGCGUGACGGCGCGAGCAGGUGCGAAAGCAGGUCAUAGUGAUCCGGUGGUUCUGAAUGGAAGGGCCAUCGCUCAACGGAUAAAAGGUACUCCGGGGAUAACAGGCUGAUACCGCCCAAGAGUUCAUAUCGACGGCGGUGUUUGGCACCUCGAUGUCGGCUCAUCACAUCCUGGGGCUGAAGUAGGUCCCAAGGGUAUGGCUGUUCGCCAUUUAAAGUGGUACGCGAGCUGGGUUUAGAACGUCGUGAGACAGUUCGGUCCCUAUCUGCCGUGGGCGCUGGAGAACUGAGGGGGGCUGCUCCUAGUACGAGAGGACCGGAGUGGACGCAUCACUGGUGUUCGGGUUGUCAUGCCAAUGGCACUGCCCGGUAGCUAAAUGCGGAAGAGAUAAGUGCUGAAAGCAUCUAAGCACGAAACUUGCCCCGAGAUGAGUUCUCCCUGACUCUUUAAGGGUCCUGAAGGAACGUUGAAGACGACGACGUUGAUAGGCCGGGUGUGUAAGCGCAGCGAUGCGUUGAGCUAACCGGUACUAAUGAACCGUGAGGCUUAACCUU
rnacentral:rRNA from 1 species